GACGAACGCUGGCGGCGUGCUUAACACAUGCAAGUCGAACGGUAAGGCCCUUCGGGGUACACGAGUGGCGAACGGGUGAGUAACACGUGGGUGAUCUGCCCUGCACUUCGGGAUAAGCCUGGGAAACUGGGUCUAAUACCGGAUAGGACCACUGCCUGCAUGGGUGGUGGUGGAAAGCUUUUGCGGUGGGGGAUGGGCCCGCGGCCUAUCAGCUUGUAGGUGGGGUGAUGGCCUACCAAGGCGACGACGGGUAGCCGGCCUGAGAGGGUGACCGGCCACACUGGGACUGAGAUACGGCCCAGACUCCUACGGGAGGCAGCAGUGGGGAAUAUUGCACAAUGGGCGCAAGCCUGAUGCAGCGACGCCGCGUGAGGGAUGACGGCCUUCGGGUUGUAAACCUCUUUCAGCACCGACGAAGCGCGAGUGACGGUAGGUGCAGAAGAAGGACCGGCCAACUACGUGCCAGCCGCCGCAGUAA
rnacentral:rRNA from 1 species